UGGAUGCUCUUUUGUUUUAGUCUGAGA
rnacentral:piRNA from 1 species